rnacentral:rRNA from 1 species
CAGGCCUAACACAUGCAAGUCGAGCGGGCACUUUCGGGUGUCAGCGGCGGACGGGUGAGUAACGCGUGGGAACGUGCCCUCUGGUUCGGAACAACCCUGGGAAACUAGGGCUAAUACCGGAUACGCCCUAUUUGGGGAAAGGCUUGCUGCCGGAGGAUCGGCCCGCGUCUGAUUAGCUUGUUGGUGGGGUAACGGCCUACCAAGGCGACGAUCAGUAGCUGGUCUGAGAGGAUGAUCAGCCACACUGGGACUGAGACACGGCCCAGACUCCUACGGGAGGCAGCAGUGGGGAAUAUUGGACAAUGGGCGCAAGCCUGAUCCAGCCAUGCCGCGUGAGUGAUGAAGGCCUUAGGGUUGUAAAGCUCUUUUAUCCGGGACGAUAAUGACGUAUCCGGAGGAAUAAGCCCCGGCUAACUUCGUGCCAGCAGCCGCGGUAAU